rnacentral:rRNA from 1 species
AAGGAUCAUUAUUGAAAUUAUAGGUGAGGGUUGUAGCUGGCCUCUCGGGGGCAUGUGCACGCCCGAGCCCUUAAUCCACACACACCUGUGAACCUAUUGUAAGGGCCCUUAAAAAAGGCCUUUACGUCUUAUCAUCAACCCAUCGUAUGUCCCAUAGAAUGUAAAUAUAUGUCCUCGCCUUAAAAAGCGUUGAUAAACUUAUACAACUUUCAACAACGGAUCUCUUGGCUCUCGCAUCGAUGAAGAACGCAGCGAAAUGCGAUAAGUAAUGUGAAUUGCAGAUUUUCAGUGAAUCAUCGAAUCUUUGAACGCACCUUGCGCUCCUUGGUAUUCCGAGGAGCAUGCCUGUUUGAGUGUCAUUAAAUUCUCAACUCUGAUCGAUUUGUUUCGACUUCGGAGCUUGGAUUUGGAGCGUGCUGGCGUCGGUCGGCUCCUCUUAAAUGCAUCAGCGGAAUCUAACGUUUCGGACGUCAGUGUGAUAAUCAUGUUGCGCUGUCUGUCUGACCUGAAAGCCCGCUCACAAUGGUCUUCGGACAACUUCAUAUCAAAUUUGACCUCAAAUCAGGUAGGACUACCCGCUGAACUUAA